CGCCCGGGGCGGGGGGGGGCGCGGGGCGGAGGGGCCGGCGCGGCCCCGGCGCUGUCCGCGGCGCGCGGCCCCCGCAGCGCGCGGCCCCCGCGGGCGGCGGCGCCGGUGUCGCCUGCCCGAAAGGCGGCGGCGCUAUGGGCGGGCGGCGGGCGCGGUGCGUGCGGGCUCACGGCGGAGCAUCGCGCGGCAAAUGGUUCCCGAGCCGGGAGGGGAGGUUGUCAGCGCCCGCGGGGAGCCCGGGUCUGAAAUUAGACGUCUGAGUGGAGAGAGUUUGGGGAAACAGCAGUGAAGAAGUGCGUUCGAGCCGGCCUGAAUCACUGUGUCCGGGGCGGUACGAAUAUGUCUGUAAAAGGGAUUUAUUUAAACGGAGACGGGCACCACUCCUGGGGUUAGUGCCGCUGACCGCCGCCUUGGAGGGGCGACUCGCUCGGGGGCUGGAAGAUCCGAUCCUGGCUCAGCGCGGCACAGCCAUAGAGACAGCGACUAGAAGGAUGCAAUAACUUACUUGGUUCUAAACAGCGAUGUUUCUAUAAAUACAGGCAUUUCCCUUGUUCCCUUCCUGAAAAGCCCAGAACAUUUUACCAGGCUCAUCUCUUAACAAAAUAGCGUACAGAAACAGUCUGAAAAUACAUUAUCCAAAAGAACCCAACAGAAAUAUUCCUUAUUUCCUUACUGGGAAAUCAGCAAAAUACAGUCUGUACCUGUUCCCACCAAAAUCAAUAAGCUGCAUUGUAUUUUUCCAAAUACUGCUACUUUCCCUGUUUUGCACUUCAUCUAGAAAAGGAAAAUACAUCUUCCUCUGGGUAAGUAAGUGAUUGUAGAUUUUCCCUCAAAUUGUAUUUGAUCAUCAAGUGAAUUUAGUGCUCACUCAAGCCAAUGGGUUGACUAUCUGAAAAUGGCUCUGUCUGUCUUCGCAAACUUAUGGCAGAGGCAGCAGCAGAGCAAUUGCUACAGAUUAUUUCCCAAUCUGCUGCAGUCUCUUUUGGAGAAGCACCAUUAUUUCAGCCUCCAUCUCCAUUUUUUGCUGAGGCUGCUGCUCACAAAGAUACUAAUUGCGAUGGCAGUUUUUAUGUUAAUGGGUUCCACGUAACGAUCAGCCCGACAACUACAGCCCGCCGGAUUGUUAGCUGACUGCGCUGGGAAUAAAGCUGAUGGCGUUUGGGUAUGGAAACGCCAGGCCUCCACCUGGAGAGAUAGAUCGGUGGCUCCGCUAGGUGAAACCGCCCCCCGCGCUGGGACGCCCGGGGCCGGAGCCCCUCUCCCUCCUUCCCUCCUUCCCGGGUGCCCGUGCCGGGGGGGCGCGGGGCCGCCUGCCCCCCGGGAGGCUGCCGGGCCGCUGCCGAGCGGGGCCGGAGCUGCGCGAGCCUCCGAAUUGUGACUAACGACGUAACCGGUUUGGGAGCUCUAAAAUAAGGUUUUAAUCCUGGGAAGCAUCAUUUCACAUUCCAGUGAUCUAAUCAAAAUCCUCUCCUCUAAUCUCUCCACGGUCCCCCCUUUCUAGAUGAAAGAGGCUGGAGUCGCUGCCUUCGCCCUCGCUCCGCCGUCUCCCUGCUCCACCAGUCUGUUCUGUGUCCAGGCAACUGCAAAGAGACAUUUGAAAGACUCCUGCCGUGCCAUGGGGAUGUUUCUCUUGUUAGUUUGGACUGCAGGUGUGUAAGCCUCGAGGAUGAAGUAUCACGGUGCUGUUUUAGGUUCGGGGCACACAGUCGUAGUACAAUAAAUCACAUGGCAGUGCUCCGCUUUGAACACACACGCGCAAAAAAAGGCAAAGAAAAAAAGCAUCUGACCUGAAUCAUUUUCUGGAAACACAUCUGGUUAAAAUCCAAAGUUUUAAAUUGAGUAAUAUUUUAAAAUACAUUUGGUAGGUAUUAAAUUACAGUGUUAUAUCUGGUAAUAUUUAUGAUACUAAUGUGUUAAGCAGAGGUUUAUAUCUGUCAAGAAGUAUGAAUGAUUGUCAUAUGGGGUAGCAAAUGAAUCCUGAUAUAAAUAAUAUUUUAUGAUAUUUUUAACAUUAUUGUAAUCUUUUUGCAGGAGUUACAUCUUGUCACAUUAUUGCCAAUUUGAAAUAAAAGCUGCGUGGCUAGAUACUAAAGCUUUUAGCUAUAUCAUUUUGAAUAAGAAUAAACAGUACAGCUGAUUCUGGAAGUACCGAGAAACCUUAAGUGCGCCGGAAGACAAGUGCGGAGUACCUGUAAUUCCUACUGUCUUCGGUGCAGGAUCAAGUCCCUUAUUUGCCAUUUUGUGUGGCAGCAAGCCCAAGGAAAUCUCGCUUGACAGCUCUGCUCUCUAAGUGCGGUAUUUCUUAGGGCUGGAUUCUGCAUCCUGCAGGGUACAAAGCUCUUGGGGCAAAUGGUAAUUUGUUUUCUGUUUCUGCUAAAACGUGCCCAUGUGAGAUGGAAGACGGAUCCUUGAAAACUGGGUGCGCCCUGGCAAGAAGGCGGUUAGAAGAAAGUUUCCUUGGAUUAGUAUGUUUUGAGAAAUCAGUCUCAUGUGUUUGUCUGAGAGAACCUGAAGUAUUUUCUUAAGGUUAGAUUUGAUCUGUGUAAAUGCUAACUUCUUUCAACAUGUGCUAAUACAAUACUGAAAAAGUAAGUACAGUAUAUUUGAAGUUUAUAUCUAAAAUGAUGACAAUAACUAAAAGUGCUUAAAUAAUGCUUGCUACAUCCAAAAUAUUUUUAAAUAUGUUACUCAGAUUUCUUUUUCAUUUUCUUCCAGGUAUGGUCAUCACAGGCACCGUUUUAGGAAUUAGAAAAAUAUCUAACUAAAAUUUGUUCCUUAUUAAUGUCAUUGUGUCAUAAAAUAUCACUAAUACAGAUAUUUAACUAACACAUUUGCUCUAUUGCUUGCACUGGGCCAUCAAUGACAAUUGGUGUUAUUAUGCUUCACAUGUGAUGGUCCAGAAUAUUAUGGAAAAUGGACCUUUAUUGCAAGGGCCCAAGACUUGUCAGAAAAGAUUCAUUGUCAAAACCGCUCCUCUGGGCAGCAGUCUGGAUUCAUUAAGAUAUUUUGGACCAUGAGUCCAAUUUAAAUCACCGGACUUAGGUUUCCAUUUGCCUUUGCAAAUCUGGCUUAUUUCCUGGGCCAGGACACUGUAAAUUGAGGUGCUGCUUCUCCUGGGAAGACCGUGACUUUGAGUCUCUUCUCCAUUGAUUCUGUUGUUUUCUUCCAAUUUUCACUUAAACUGACUUCCAAAUUUCUAUCACAGUUCCUGUAACAGAGGUCCUUCUCCUUGUUCUGCCUCUUCCUGCCUCGCUUUCAUGGCUCUCAUUUUGCAUUUUCUUCAACAGCAUCUUGUCUCUGGCUGUCCGGCUCCAGACGUCUGUGCCCAGUGAACAGGAAUGCCUCAUCCCCAAAUCCCAUCCUUCUCCCUUGUGAAAGCGCCAUUCUGUUCACGCCGAGCAGGAUUUGAGAGCUUUCCUCCGUCCAUCCAUGUUCCACCGUGCCCGUCGCCCAGCGAGACUCCACAGGGAUGGCAGAGCAUAGCGGUAGACAGUUAUCUUAUGUUGCUGGGAGAUUUAGCCCAAAUUAAGAUCAAAACCCAUAUUCAUCUUUCAAAUCAUAAUUUUUUCCCAAUUAUUGUCAGUGACUCUAAUUCGGCAUUGAUUUAUAUAUAUUGUGAUAGACAGAGGUUUUGCAGCGUAUAAAUUGCCAGGGGAUUUGGCCAGUGAUUUGGCCACAGCGACAUGUACAGGCUCAGGGAAUCCUCUGAGCUGAAAGUGCUUGGAAGCUGGGAGAGUCCUGGGGGGAAGUAUCGCCUGCGCCUGCCUGCCCGUCCCAGCGUGUCCACUCGUGGUGACUGGCAGUGAGAGCUGGGUGGACCCUUGCUCUGAACCAGCAUGGUGAUUCCCAUGUUCGUAGGUAAUUUGCAAAAGUUUUAGCACAAAUCAUAUAGAAAGAGUUAUACGUGACUUAAGCAUGGAAUCCCAGCUACAGCAUAGUCCCAGAUAGACGCUGGAAACUGGAAAAGAAGAAAGCAAUUCCCAUAGAGGGCAGGGAAAACAGCCACAAUUAAAAGCAAAGUAAAUUUGGGCUGUGUGGUUACUUGCUCUUUAACUCUGAAGAUGUUCAUAAGUGUCCUGCAUAAUCCACAACAGAUCUUCCUGCAGGAUUUGUGGAUUAACCCAUACCAACAAAAACGUGUGACGACAUUGUAGUGGUAUUCUCUGCCACGUGCAGUAGGAGUUACCGAAGACCCCAGUAGAAAGGCUAUACCGAUGUGCCUAAUGAAUUGAGUCGGUCUUUCAGGCUGAAUAUGUUCACAACAUUUCUGUUAAAUAACUGCUUCUCUUAUGGCAUAUUCUAUCCAGAUGCAAGGUCAUGUUUUGGCCAGCGCAAGUAAUAACAAUACCCAUAGGCAAUCAAAAGAAUUAGAGAGGAAAAGGACCUAUCAGAUUAUCCACUGCCUGUAGCUGGCAGUGAGUAACAGUUUCAUACCGAGUAUACGCAAGUUUAUGGUUCAUACCACUUUUAAUUUGUAAGUGUUAUCCUUUCUUCAGUGUGCAAGACGGUAUCAGAGUGAGCUUUCUGCUGGAUGGGAAGCGUUUUGAGCCUCCUGGUGCCCUUUCCCAGCUAGGCAGGGCACGCUCCCACGAGGACUUUUCUGCCUGACCUGUGCUGCUGCUCUUUUGAUCUGGGCAUUUAUCUUCUUCAUCCCUCAAGGGGCUAGUAGACAAGGCGUAUGGAAUGUGUGAGUGCAAAACCGAUCCUAUAUUGGAAAAGAAAAUAGAAAAAAGGUCUUCUUUCACUUUCCAAGCACAAAUGCUUCAGAUGGCAACUCCGCUCCUCCAUCCCCUCUGUGAAGGGAGGAAGAGCAAGAAUAACUCACUGCUCCCUUCUCUAGCUGCGUUUUCUGGUGUCUCUCUGGCACUCGCUCCCUUCUCUGACUCCGUCCGUCAUUCCCAGCCCUGUCCCAUCCCCACCCCGUGGCUGUGGCCCUGGUGGUGCAGCCGCUCUCCCCCGUUGGUGUCACACGCUGGCUCCAAUGCUGGUGUCACAGGAGAGGUGUCCACACCUGGGCCCUGCUGCAGGACUCGUGGCAGGGAGGCUUGCGGCAGACGGUGUUCUGGGACAGAGAGACGGGCAUGUAUGGCGAUGGGCAAACAUGGAGACAGGCAACACAUCUUCCUUGUGCACCGGUGCAAAGCAAAACCCUCCACGUGGGUUAGCCCCCCUGGGCAGGGCUAUCAGGGCAAUCGGGAAGCUGGAGAGGAGAAUAAGUGAAGUACCAGACGCAGGGACUGGAAAACCACUGCAGAGAAAAGGUUUUGCUAACUUUUCAUGUGUGGCACACAUUGAUGGCUGUGAUGCACAAAUUCUCAGGGAAACACCAUCUACCUGCCCCCAAAUGCUGCAGAACUCCCCAGGUACUUUUGCCAUUUCGGCUCUUCGGUGUGGUGGAGGUCAGCGGGAGGACUGCUUAAUAGCUGGCUUUGGGAUGUCCGAGGUGAUUCUCCUUCAAAUAAGGCAUAUGAGGUUUCAUUUUGGGAAGCAUGUCUUUCCUUAGGAACACAACUGUGACUUCGAUGGCACCGUGAUGAUUUCUCCAAGCGCAACAGUGUUUGUGGUUGUUGGAUAUGAAUGCUAGGGUAGAAGAAACAGGAAUUCUGGAUUCUGAAAGGGAAAAAAUAGACACCCUAAGAGGAAGUCGUAAAUUCGCUGCAGCCACCAGAAACUGGCAAAACUGAUGCAACGUCCUGCAAGAAACGCUUUAGUGUGGAGAACCUCCUUGAAGGGAGUGUACCAGGUUCCCAUCAUGAUGCAGCUCCCACAUGAAAGCCACUUCGAAACUAUGCAGAGCAGCCUCUGGACUGCCCCGAUUUCCAUGCUCGGCUCAGCCAGCUCUCACAAAGGCAAGCAUAUGGCAGGCACACACUAUACCCGGCUCAGCACUAGUAUUUCUGCAGGCGCAGUGUAUGAAGGCCAUGGUUAGAAGGUGAAUAUCCGUAAAGGUAAAUGGUACACUUGAAAAUGAAUCACAGUGCUCAGGAUAACGUAUCAAACUGCUAUUUGUUUAGUAACGUAUAGGAAAAAAAAUCUUUUUUCUUCCCCUUACCAUUGCAUUGUUUCCUAUUUGCUGUUUGGGUGGUGAUGGAUUACUGAAUAGUUACAAAAAAAUCCAUAUAAUUUUGUGUUUUCAAACGUUACCUUCUCCUUAGAAAUAAACAGCUCUCACCUUACUUGGUCCAUGAUUCUCCACAGUUAUAUCAUAGCCCUUGUUUACAUCUGCUUGGCAUCAUCCUAGACUGGGGCUUUAACCUGAUGUAAAUCCAAAGAAAUUAUGUGGGAAUUGAUGGCGUCACUACGAAUGUCCAUGGGUGUAGGCUAGUGCAGGCCAUAGCCUAUUCAUCUCGUUGUGCUCUUUCAGUAAAUAACAAGCUGGAUUCAGCCCAACAAGAGUAAAACAAAUUGAAAACAUUCUUAAAGAGAAGAGGUAAACGGGUUUACAAUGUAAUAACAACAUUUUGGAGGGUUGUCUCCAAGCAUCCAGGUUUCAAAAGCACCAAAGUACAUAUAAAACAUUCAUUUACCAUGUGCUUAAGUGCCGUGCUGCGUGUGGCUGGCUGCUGAAUCAGGGCCACGUACCUAAGACUGACUUUCAUGAGACAAUUACAUAAAAAAAUUUUUAACUGCGAGGAGGAGAAAAAUGUUCAAGGGCAGCCAACCUGGAGGAAACAAAUAUAAUUUAAUUAUGUGAAGUGUUUAUAAAUGCAGUUUAUGAACAUGUAUGAAAGCCAGUAAUUCUUUACUUUUCAGACUGUAACUGUCACACAGAAAGGAAACAAUCGCUUAUUUAUCUUUUCCAAGGCUUUUUAGAGAAUACAUUGCAGUUCAGAUAUUUAUUUUGACCUUUUAGUCCUUUUUAACAGCUCAUUGUUUUGUUGAUUAGUCCUGAUUAGCAAUUUUUAUGUGCGCUCCUUCAUUUGUGAUUGAUAGAAAAAUAUUUACCUGGUUUACCUGGAAGUGGAAAUUUAUUUCAGACUUUGUUUGAAAUUUUGGACUUAGUUUUAAUAUACGUGGGUUACUGAAUCAGACCCAUAAGCUUUGCUUUUUAUUUCUCUUACAUCACCAAUAUAAAUCUUAAGUGACUCAGAAUGCCUGGAAUUGCAAUAAUGUAGUGCAACAGAACGGCCUAUCAGGCUUCAUAAAUAGAUCAGAUUAAUGCAUAAAUCUAAUUUGAUAUUUUACAUUACUGGGCUAAUAUUUUACAGAUGUAAUGCCAAGUUGUUAAGUAAAUGAAAUUCAUGGAGAGUCCAAUUCUGAAAGGAUUACUCAGGCAAAAAUCCCUGAAGUCAAAGGGAGUAUUGCCUGAACGCAGUCUGCAAAAUUAGAACUAGAGCCAUAUUCCCAAAACAGAAAAGCAGAUUUAUCUUAGAGAUCUGCCCAUGAGUUGAGUUCUUGUUACAAUGAAAGAUAUAUUGGGAAAAUGAACAAGAAGGUAACCUGAAAUAUAAGGAGAGACUGAUAAGAUCGCGCCAACCCUGAGCAAGCACUUGUGUGGUUGGUGAUGUCAACAGAAGCCCAAGCUGUUUCAAUAAACUUGUUCAUAGUUGUCCUAUACCGUGUUUUAUAUACUGAAGUACAUAGAUCACGUAAGAGUUUAACAAGAAAAGGAUUCAUAUUAAAUUUGCACAUAAAAUGCCUCUAUGAAAUACGUGAAAUGCUUUUCUUUUUUUAUAUGAUGCCAAUAAAAUAUCGAUCAUAAAACUCUG